rnacentral:rRNA from 1 species
AACGAACGCUGGCGGCAUGCCUAACACAUGCAAGUCGAACGAGACCUUCGGGUCUAGUGGCGCACGGGUGCGUAACGCGUGGGAACCUGCCCUUAGGUUCGGAAUAACUCCCCGAAAGGGGUGCUAAUACCGGUUAAUGUCUUCGGACCAAAGAUUUAUCGCCUUUGGAUGGGCCCGCGUUGGAUUAGCUAGUUGGUAGGGUAAAAGCCUACCAAGGCGACGAUCCAUAGCUGGUCUGAGAGGAUGAUCAGCCACACUGGGACUGAGACACGGCCCAGACUCGUACGGGAAGCAGCAGUGGGGAAUAUUGGACAAUGGGCGAAAGCCUGAUCCAGCAAUGCCGCGUGAGUGAUGAAGGCCUUAGGGUUGUAAAGCUCUUUUACCCGGGAUGAUAAUGACAGUACCGGGAGAAUAAGCUCCGGCUAACUCCGUG